rnacentral:lncRNA from 1 species
CCUAGAGAGCUGUGCCAUCUCAUGGCCUGUACAGUUCUUUUCCAUCCUUCUCUCACAAUGCCAAGGAGAAAAAUGUCAUUUCGGUGCUCGUCCAUCUUGACAUUUCCAUGUAAAACUCAACUGCAAACUCAGAACAAACAGCAAACAAAAUCUUGCUAAGAUUUGACUUUCAUGCUAACUCUUAAUACAGUUUUUCAUCUCUGUACAGAUAUGGUCCCUCUUCUUAUUCCAUGGAUUACAGCAUGUCAAGUUUUGUAUUCUUAAGUGUGUACAGCUAGUGAAACCAAAUUACAGCUGGCUAUUGUCCUGCAGACUCCAUAUUUUCUAGGCAAAAACAAGCUAAAGGCUGUUGGAGGUUCAGUCCCCCCACAUGUAAGGACUGCUGCCCCCCACCCCCACCCCAACACAGGGACUACGAGGCAAACCUGCAGUCAGUGCUGCUGUCACAUCUGGAAUGUUCACAAGCUGCUGUGGCAACCCAUUCCCCAUGGCCUUCAAGUCUUUCAGACGGAAUGAAAAUGGCGCUAUAAUGACAGUUUAUGAAAUGAAAGCAAAUAUAGUGGCCUUGCAUCGCAGACUUUCUAUAGCAGAGAGGAUGGUAAUAAAGACAGAAAGUGCAUGCUGACCCCCACCUUGCUGUAUUUCCAUAACAACGCAGCUCUGUAGCUCCAGUGGGGCAAGGCAUCAAGCGAGAGAGAGUUAUGGAUGCUUCCUUUAUGUGCAGAUUCUUCAGUGUCAGAGAAGGGGGAGGGGCUUCUCUGAGGUGAGUUUUCUUAGGUCAUUGAUAAAAGAUAAAUUCCCUAAAGUGAAUCUUUGGAAAUCGUUUGUUUGCUAGUGGAUUCUCAAACACGCUUGCCAAUGAGAGAAAGCCCGAGG